UACGGAGAGUGCUAGCGUUGUUCGGAAUCAUUGGGCGUAAAGGGCGUGUAGGCGGCCUGUCAAGUCCGGUGUGAAAUCCCUCGGCUCAACCGAGGACGUGCACUGGAUACUGUCGGGCUCGAGUAUGGGAGAGGGAAGCGGAAUUCCCGGUGUAGAGGUGAAAUUCGUAGAUAUCGGGAGGAACACCCGUGGCGAAGGCGGCUUCCUGGCCCAAUACUGACGCUGAGGCGCGAAAGCGUGGGGAGCAAACAGG
rnacentral:rRNA from 1 species